UACGGGGGGGGGUAAGCGUUGUUCGGAAUUACUGGGCGUAAAGGGCUCGUAGGCGGCCAACUAAGUCGGACGUGAAAUCCCUCAGCUUAACUGGGGAACUGCGUCCGAUACUGGAUGGCUUGGAUUUGGGGAGAGGGAUGCCGGAAUUCCAGGUGUAGCGGUGAAAUGCGUAGAUAUCUGGAGGAACACCGGUGGCGAAGGCGGCAUCCUGGACCAAUAUUGACGCUGAGGAGCGAAAGCCAGGGGAGCAAACGGG
rnacentral:rRNA from 1 species